CCUACGGGUGGCAGCAGUGGGGAAUAUUGGGCAAUGGGCGCAAGCCUGACCCAGCAACGCCGCGUGAAGGAAGAAGGCUUUCGGAUUGUAAAGUUCUUUAGUCAGGGAAGAAGUCAAUGACGGUACCUGAAGAAUAAGCUCCGGCUAACUACGUGCCAGCAGCCGCGGUAAUACGUAGGGAGCAAGCGUUGUUCGGAAUGACUGGGCGUAAAGGGUGCGUAGGCGGUUGUACAAGUUAGAAGUGAAAUACCCAGGGCUUAACUCGGGUGCUGCUUCUAAAACUGUAUGACUUGAGUGCAGUAGAGGUUAGUGGAAUUCCUAGUGUAGCGGUGGAAUGCGUAGAUAUUAGGAGGAACACCAGAGGCGAAGGUGGCUAACUGGACUGCAACUGACGCUGAGGCACGAAAGUGUGGGGAGCAAACAGGAUUAGAUACCCGUGUAGUC
rnacentral:rRNA from 1 species